rnacentral:lncRNA from 1 species
AACCACCACGACGACCUUGCCCAACCCUUCCCAGCCCCUUCUCCGUCUCUGCCCCACCCCCUUCUCUGUCGCAACCAUCAUCUUGCCCAAUUGCUUAUAAUCCCUCUGUUUCGUUAUUGUGCAAACCAAAUUUUGUGAAUCUAAAGGGUCCAACGUUGAGGAACUUCUGGAAUCUUGACUUGAGCACAUUUACAACUUUAGGGUCUACUUCUUCAAAAGAAUUUAUUGCAACAGCGGUUGCUUUAGGUAGCUUUUGUCCCAGUUUGUAUAAUAGGAUUGCUAAGGGUGACUCUAACUGUCCUACUAUUCCUUCAGGUAGGCCGUCCAUCUGAAAUCUUGAAAAUCCAAGAGGGAAGUCGAGGGUCUCUUUGAUUCUUCCAAAAAGAUGAAACCCAAGUUCAGAGACAUUUACGAAGGGUCUCUUUAAUUUCUUUUCUUAUGUGAUUACCUACGCUCGCGGUGUGAGGGAGAAGAUCUGUUAGGGAGUGAGGGGAGGGGUGGCUUGGUGUUUUGAUCACUUUUAUGGGGAGAGAAGAUGGCAAUGGUGGUGCCGGUAUCAACGAACUUCCUAAUAUGAUUUUUAUUGUGUAUUGAUUGUGGUGCUGGGGAGCUGCUGGGAAGGAUGGUGGUUUGAGGGAUGAAUACUCUGUGAUUUUCUCACCUUCCAAACAGAGCCCAAAUGAUAAAAUGGGUUCUGAAUUCAAAUCAGGAUCUGGGUCUGUCGCAUCUCCUUUGAAUCCCUCAGAAUUUUCAGUAAGAAACGGGAAAAAGGUAAAAAAGCAAAAUUGAACCAUGGGUCAAUUUGAUCUCCUUCGAAUUCAUCAAACUCAUAUCCAAAAAGUGCAAUUUCAUCUCAUUUGAAUCCCUCAGAUGGGCUGUUUGUGUGCGCAGCAACGGAGAGAGAGGUCUCCGAGGGAAGCAAGAGGAAGAGGCAGUUGAUGAGGAUAGAGAUCUUGCCCUUGGUUCUAUCCAACGACAGCGAGGUUAGUGGCGAUGAUUUUGAAGGCA